UCAAUCUUAUUACAAGUGAAGUCAAAGUGCCCAAACCCCAAAUAUUUAUACCUGAAGUGAACGGCUGGUGAGCACUGAGCAGUUGACUGUUGAGGGAGGCGGAGAGCAGAUUCAGAGAAAGAACGAGAGAGGGCCUGAGAGGCGGACUGGCGGAGAAACCGAGAGCUUGAGCAGUUGAGAGAGGCGGUCCAGGCUUGCUGCCUUGCUUCAGGUUCUUGAGCAGAUGAGAAGUGAACAGUGGAGUGGAGAGAAUCAGAGAGAAUGAGAGACAGAGAGAGGCGGAGAGCAGAGAGAAAGGCGUUCUUUCUGCGAUGUAGGAUUGGCUUUUCAUAGAUGAAUCAAUGUAAUCUGUAAUAUUGGUUGUUGGAGGUAAAGAGAUUAGAGGCUCUAUCUCUGAUCUGAAGGGACCCUAUGGUUUACCCCAAGCCUCGGUGAGUUGUGGUUUUGGCUAACAAUCCAUUGAGGUCCUUGAGAUGGCACAAGACAGUCAUCAAGCAGAGGAUUGUGAUUCCAAGGCUGCAGCAGAGCAAGGGUAUUCACAAUAGAUUCUGAAUACACAAGGAGGAAACAAAAGCUGAAACGGGAGCAACAAAAGAUUUUUAUUGAGGACUGAAUGAUGGAGACCUGUUUUGGUUUCUAAUUUUGACUCUUUGAACAUCCUAAACGAUGCCGUAUAUGGAAAGAAACAGACACUGAUUUGCCUCAGUCAGAUCCUUCAACCUUAGCUUUCAAUUUUCAACAGGUAAUCAUUAGGUCUUCCAGUGUUCUAUUUUUAUAUUUUAUCAUUAAGUAAUUAUUCAGUUUUUGUGUUGAGGAAUUUUUUUUAGUAUUAUUUUUUUAUUUUUGUUGUUGUUGUUGUUGUGAAUGUUGCACAUUUUCAAAUGGGGAAUAUGUGAAAUUUGGUUUAGUGGAAUUGGAGAAAGCGUAGUGUUAGUAUUUAGUGCUACAGAGGAGGUACCUAAAAUUCUGUUUUACAAAUUAUUUGUUUCAGUGGUUAUAAAAUUCUGUGUUUUUAGGUUUGAAUAUUAUUAAACUGUAGUAUGCAGGAACCUCUUGGCAGGAGCUAAAUUAUAUUUUAGACAAUAUGUUGAAUUACUAGCCCCUGAAUUACAUGGCAUGCAGUAAAUUUUAGUGCCUUCAAUAAAUUUAGAGGAUUUCUUGUAAAAAUUUAAUAUAUUUUAAUUAUUCAACUGUCGGUCUUUUGAGCUGUUGCCAUCCUCUUCUUUUCCUUUGUAAUAGUCUUGUGAACUAAUGCAAGACAUAUCAUGUCUUUAAACAGUUCGGCAAGUUCACCUCUAUAAAUUUUUCCUUCAAUGGUUUUUCAUAUUGUUUAAAGUCUAGAAGUUCCAAUCCUAGUUCUUGUAGGUAUGUGCUACUUAUAUUUUAUCAUGGUCAGCUUAAUUUACCAUCUUCCGACCAUAAAUGGAUGUUAACUUUAAUGCUUUUAAUUGCUUUGAAGCUUUUUAAGGCAUUUAACUAGUUUGAUUCUACUUAUGUAUGUGCCAUGUUGAAUCUUUAAGUUUUGCAGUACCUUAUAGACCAUGAACUAAACAUAAAAAAGAAAAAAGAAUUGAACUGUCUUUUUUUUGGAUGUCUUAUCAACCCAUAUGAAUAUGUAAUUAUCUUCAAUACUAUAUUUGGUUCUACAUACAUAGAUGAGUAUACCAACUAGUUUAAUUAGAAACAAAAUAAAAGAAUAUGCUUGUGUAGAGUAUACUGAGUAGUGAGUAUACAGAAUAUUUUAAUUAGAAACAACAACAAGGUUGAUACUUGAUGGUUCCUUGUGUAUGUUGAAUAUAUACAUUUUUUUAUGCCGAGUAUACUUUAAAAAAAACAGAGUUGAUAGUUCUUUUGUGUAUAAUUAUAUGGGUUGAGUAUGCAUUUUAUGCUGAGUAUACCAUUUUAUUAAAUAUGAAAUAUGUUUGUAUUCGAAAUAUGGAUUCAGAUAUGAAGGUUGUCUGUGCAAAUCCUUAUUUGGUCGAGUUCAUUCAGUUUCCAAUAGUCUUGACUUCUAGGUUUUCUAAAAAAUUAUAUAUGUUUGUUGCAUUUACCAAGAAAUGUUAUAUUACUAGGCAUAAUGCUAAGGAGAAAGCCAUUUUGUUGCACAUGAACUAUGGUCAUUUUUAGAGAAAUGAUUGAAAGACUCUCAAAAUUAGUCAACUAUCCAUAAGAAUUAGGGUCUAGAUCGUCCGUGUCAUGAAGCUGUUUUACUUAUUGAAGCAAUUUUAAAAGCCGUUGCUAAUUUCCACUAUUCUAGUAAAAUUCAUGGUAGGCUCAGAUAUCUUGAGAAUUAUCUGAUAUAAUAUGAUAUCGAGAAGAAUGUCAAAGUUUUGUUGAUUCAUGACAAAAUGGAUGAUAGUAUAUCUGGAAUGGGAAAAAGGGGUGUCAUAUAUAAUUUUUGGCCAAGCUCUUAAAAGUGUGAUUGUAGAAAUUACCCAAAAGAUUUCAAGUGGUUAUGCAAUGUAAUUACUAAUUGUCAUGGGAGCAAUUAUUGGAUACGUAUUAUCAAAUAUCCCUCCCUCUAGAAUUAUAGUAAGAGAAUUGCUUUUAUUGUGCGGGUUAGGAUGUUGCUUCUGAACUCUUAGUUAUAUGUUGUUACUGUCAUUUCCAAUGAACUCAAGUUUUUGGAUGGACUUUUUAAGGAUUGGCAAUCAAAAAUUCCUUUUGAGACUUCCUAUAAAGACUCUCUAUAUUGAUGGUUAUGGAAUUUACUUCAAUGAACCAGUUUAUUAAACAUCAACAGAAAAGCUCCUUCAAUAUGUUGGAAAUUUCAUGAUCCAUUUUAGGGUUGGUUUGGGUCGAGUUUGUGCCCAACCCAGAACUGACCUGCCGAAAUUAAGUGGCAAAACAUUGAACCCGCUGUUGACCACUAGAGUAAUUGGAUUGGACGGAUCAAACCAUCAACAGGUGGCGGACGAGUCGGUUGGAGUCACAGAUUUGAGAAGACGACAAGAAAAACUCAUAUCCGGCGAAAAUCUCAUUGGAUUUUAUGAGAUUUCGCCAGAUUCGGUGAAAAUCUCAUCGGAUUCGAUGAGAUUUUGCUAGAUCCGGUCAAAAUCUCACCGGAUCUAAGUGAAAUAUCGUUGGAAUCUAGGGUUUUUCGUCGGGAUUCGGAAAACUUUGGCCGGAAUUUUGGUUUUGUUUUCACCGGAAUCUGGAAAACUUUGGUCGGAAUCUAGAAAUCUUCACCGGACUCUGUGUUUCUUCAAUCGGUUUGGGUUUUUUAGGUUUUAGGGGAGGAAAACCGAGAUCGACUCGUUGGAAUCGGUUUCUGGGGUUGAAGAUCUGUUGUCAACCGUCGGAGUAGUCGGGUUGGUCAGAGUCGGAUCGGAUCUGGUCGGUUUCUUCGGGUGGUCAUGUCUCGGAUCAUUCUGGACAGCCCUAAUCCAUUUUAAGAAGAGUUUGAAUGAUCUAGAUCUAGCAAUUGACAAGCCUCUGCCACAUUGAAUUUACCAGAAUGAAGAAUAUAAUGAGCUCAUGCUUUUCAAGUUUUCUGGAGAAACAAGUACACAAUUAGGUCUCCAGAAAACUUAGAAAGCAUGAGCUCAUUAUAUUCUUCAUUCUGGUAAAUUCAAUGAGGCAAAUGCUAGUCGCUAGCUAGAUUUGGAUCAUUCAAACUAUUCUUAAAAUGGAUCACGAAAUUUCUAACAUGUCGAAGGAACUCUUCUGUUGAUGUUCCAUAAAUUGGUUCAUCGAAGUAAAUUACACUACCUGAUGUUCCAUAAAUUGGUUCAUCACAGUAAAUUACACUACCUUUAGUAUAAAGAAAGUCUUGUUAGGGAAUCUUGGGAGGAAUUUUUGAUUGCCAAUCCUCAAAAAGUCCAUCUAGAAAGUCGAGUUCAUUAGAAAUGACAGUAACAACAUUUAACUAGGAGUUCAAAAACAACAUCCUAUCCCGUACAAUAAAAGCAUUUCUCUUACCAUAAUUCCAAAGGGAAAGAUGUUUGAUAAUACGUAUCCGAUCAUUGCUCCCAUGACAAUCGGUAAUUGAAUUGCGUAACCACUUGAGAUCUUUUGGAUAAUUUUCUACAGCCACUCCUUUAAGAACUUGGCCAAAAAUUAUAUAAGACACCCCUUUUCCUCCAUUCCGGAUGUAUUAUCAUCCAUUUUGUCGUGAAUCAGCAAGAUUUUGACAUUCUUCUCGAUAUCAUAUUGUAUCAAAUAAUUCUCAGGAUGUUGAAGUCCACCAUGAAUUUAACCAGAAUAAAGGAAAUUAGCAACGACCUUUAAAAUUGCUUCAAUAAGCAAAGAAGCUACAAGACACGGAGGGUUUAGACCCCAAUCCUUAUGGAUAGUUGACCAACUUUAAGAGUCUUUCAACCAAUCCUCUAAAAAGAGGUCAUAGUUCAUGUGCAGCAGAACGGCUCUCUUCUUAGCGUUAUGCCUUGUAGUAUAACGUUCUUGGUAAAUGCAUCGAGAAUAUAUAAUUGUUUAGAAAUCCUAGAACCUGAGACUAUUGAAAACUAAAUGAACUCGACUGAAUAAGGAUUUGCGCAAACAACCUUCAUCUCUAGAUCCAUAUCUUGAAUACAAAUAUAUUUAAUAUUUGUUCAAAAUGGUAUGCUUAGCAUAAAAUGCAUACUCAUCUCACAUAAUUAUACAUAAAAGUACCAUCGACUCUAAUUUUUUUAAUGUCUACUUAGCAUAAAAAGACUCUAAUUUUUUUAAUGUCUACUUAGCAUAAAAAUGUAUAUAUUCAACAUACACAAGUAACUAUCAAGUUUCAAUUUCUAAUUAAAAAUACUGUGUAUACUCACUACUCAGUAUACUCUAUAUACACAAGCAUGUUCUUUUAAUUUAUUUCUAAUUAAACUAGUCACUACUCGGUAUACUCAUUUAUGUAUGUAGAAGCAAAUAUAGUAUUGAGGGUAAUUACAUAUAAAUAUUUGUACGGGUUGGUAAGACAUCCCAAAAAAAAAGUUCAAUUCUUUUUUAUUUUUUAUGUUUAGUUCAUGGUCUAUAAGAUAGGUGGGACCCACAUGUCAUUAAGACAUAGAUUUCAUGAGAUUGUCUUAUACAAUACUUUUAUUUUUUAAUAUUGAUUUGAUAUUUUCUUUUUUGUAUAAUUGGAUUUGCUUGAUAAUUUAUUGAAUGUUUUGUUGAUAUGUUGUUUUUAGGGGGUAAACACUAAGCUUAAACUAGAUUACAUUUGAUAAAAAAUGGUUGGUGACGACUUAAUUUCAUCCUAUGGUCUAAUCUCUUUAGAAUCAUUAUUUCACAAACGAUAAAAUUGCAAUCUAUAUUUAUAUGAAUAUGCAAAGCUCAAAAAAAGUUUAAUUAGAAUUUGAAAUUAGAAUCUAAUUUUGCAUCAUGUGUCUAAAAUUAUGUGGGAAUCACACUAUAACUAUCCACUUAAUUUGUGUCAUGUGUCCAUUUAAGUUUUUUAAUUUUU